rnacentral:rRNA from 1 species
GACGAAUGCUGGCGGCGUGCUUAAUACAUGCAAGUCGAACGGAGCCUAGCCGGUAGUUUACUACAGGCGAAAGCUUAGUGGCGGACGGGUGAGUAACGCGUGGGCAAUCUGCCCCUAAGUCCGGGAUAACAGAGCGAAAGUUCUGCUAAGACCGGAUACUCUUCCUUGGUCGCAUGGCGGAGGAAGGAAAGGAUACGCUUAGGGAUGAGCCCGCGUCCCAUUAGCUAGUUGGUGAGGUAACGGCCCACCAAGGCGACGAUGGGUAGCCGGCCUGAGAGGGUGGACGGCCACACUGGGACUGAGACACGGCCCAGACUCCUACGGGAGGCAGCAGUAGGGAAUUUUCCGCAAUGGGGGAAACCCUGACGGAGCAACGCCGCGUGAGGGAAGAAGGUCUUCGGAUCGUAAACCUUUGUCAUCGAGGACGAUAAUGACGGUACUCGAGGAGGAAGCCCCGGCUAACUACGUG